rnacentral:rRNA from 1 species
AAUGAUACGGUAAAACCAACGGCAUCGUUGGCUGGUUUAAUCGCUAGUCAGUGAUAAUGUUGUUUAAACCUCAUUGUUUAGAGGAAGGAGAAGUCGUAACAAGGUAUCCGUAGGUGAACCUGCGGAUGGAUCAUUUU